rnacentral:lncRNA from 1 species
GUGCCACAGUUCAUGGGGUCGCAAAGAGUUGGACGUGACUGAGCGACUGAACUGAAUAAAUGUUAGUGGCUGUACUAGACUCUGAAAAUGUCCAUUUCAGUAAAACCAAUUUCAUGAUCUCGAUGAAGCACAGCUGAGUUGAGGACACAGUCUGGAUCAGGCUUGAAGAGAUCACUUUGUAAACACCAUUGCCAGUCUUCACAGCCACCUAGCAAGUUCACUUCUAGUGAAAUGAGAUAAUGACAUUCACUCCAAUCAACGUGUCAUCAGGUCAGCCUCACCUCGAAGUUUAUUGGAAAUGCCACCCCAGACCUACUGAAUUGGAAGCUACAGUGUCAUAAAAUAUCCCAGGUAAGUGACUUCAGUGUCAAAGAAAAAUCAGAAGUAUUUGAAAAAGAAGCAGAGAAGCCAGGUGCAGAGGAAAGGACACAGACAUUUUGGUGGCUCCCUUCAGAGGGAUGCCACUCCAG